AAUAGAUACCCAGGUAGUCCACGCCGUAAACGUUGGAUACUAGGUGUGGCGUCCCGAUCAACGGAUGCCGUGCCGAAGCUAACGCAUUAAGUAUCCCGCCUGGGGAGUACGGCCGCAAGGCUAAAACUCAAAGGAAUUGACGGGUCCCCGCACAAGCGGCGGAGCAUGCGGCUUAAUUCGAUGCAACCCGAAGAACCUUACCUGGGUUUGAAAUCAUGGGAAAAGCUGUAGAAAUACAGUGUCCGUAAGGGCCCAUGACAGGUGGUGCAUGGCUGUCGUCAGCUCGUGUCGUGAGAUGUUGGGUUAAGUCCCGCAACGAGCGCAACCCUUGUCCUAUGUUGCCAGCGGUUCGGCCGGGGACUCAUAGGAGACUGCCGGGGAUAACUCGGAGGAAGGUGAGGACGACGUCAAGUCAUCAUGCCCCUUAUAUCCAGGGCUGCACGCAUGCUACAAUGGUCGGUACAACGGGCAGCGACCCCGCGAGGGUGAGCGAAUCCCACAAAGCCGGCCUCAGUUCGGAUUGGAGUCUGCAACUCG
rnacentral:rRNA from 1 species